rnacentral:rRNA from 1 species
UACGUAGGGGGCUAGCGUUGUCCGGAUUUAUUGGGCGUAAAGAGCGUGUAGGCGGCCAGGUAGGUCUGCUGUGAAAACUCGAGGCUCAACCUCGAGACGUCGGCGGAAACCGUGUGGCUAGAGUCCGGAAGAGGAGAGUGGAAUUCCUGGUGCAGCGGUGAAAUGCGCAGAUAUCAGGAAGAACACCAAUGGCGAAGGCAGCUCUCUGGGACGGUACUGACGCUGAGACGCGAAAGCGUGGGGAGCGAACAGG